rnacentral:rRNA from 1 species
AUUGAACGCUGGCGGCAUGCCUUACACAUGCAAGUCGAACGGCAGCACGGGAGCCUGCUCCUGGUGGCGAGUGGCGAACGGGUGAGUAAUACAUCGGAACGUACCCAGUAGUGGGGGAUAACGCACCGAAAGGUGCGCUAAUACCGCAUACGACCUAAGGGUGAAAGCGGGGGACCGCAAGGCCUCGCGCUAUUGGAGCGGCCGAUGUCUGAUUAGCUAGUUGGCGGGGUAAAGGCCCACCAAGGCGACGAUCAGUAGCUGGUCUGAGAGGGCGAUCAGCCACACUGGGACUGAGACACGGCCCAGACUCCUACGGGAGGCAGCAGUGGGGAAUUUUGGACAAUGGGGGCAACCCUGAUCCAGCAAUGCCGCGUGUGCGAAGAAGGCCUUCGGGUUGUAAAGCACUUUUGUCAGGGAAGAAAUCUUUCAGGCUAAUACCCUUGGAAGGAUGACGGUACCUGAAGAAUAAGCACCGGCUAACUACGUGCCAGCCGCCGCAGUAA